UACGUAGGGGGCGAGCGUUGUCCGGAGUUACUGGGCGUAAAGCGCUUGUAGGCGGUCCACCAAGUUUGGGGUGACAGUUGCCGACUUAAUCGGCAAAGUGCCUCAAAGACUGGCGGACUUGAGGGCCACAGAGGGACAUGGAACUCCAGGUGUAGUGGUGAAAUGCGUAGAUAUCUGGAAGAACACCAAAGGCGAAGGCAGUGUCCUGGGUGGUCGCUGACGCUGAGGUGCGAAAGCCAGGGGAGCGAACGGG
rnacentral:rRNA from 1 species